CGUAGCGAAAGCGAGUCUGAAUAGGGCGUUUAGUAUUUGGUCGUAGACCCGAAACCAGGUGAUCUACCCUUGGUCAGGUUGAAGUUCAGGUAACACUGAAUGGAGGACCGAACCGACUUACGUUGAAAAGUGAGCGGAUGAACUGAGGGUAGCGGAGAAAUUCCAAUCGAACCUGGAGAUAGCUGGUUCUCUCCGAAAUAGCUUUAGGGCUAGCCUCAAGUGAUGAUUAUUGGAGGUAGAGCACUGUUUGGACGAGGGGCCCCUCUCGGGUUACCGAAUUCAGACAAACUCCGAAUGCCAAUUAAUUUAACUUGGGAGUCAGAACAUGGGUGAUAAGGUCCGUGUUCGAAAGGGAAACAGCCCAGACCACCAGCUAAGGUCCCAAAAUAUAUGUUAAGUGGAAAAGGAUGUGGCGUUGCCCAGACAACUAGGAUGUUGGCUUAGAAGCAGCCAUCAUUUAAAGAGUGCGUAAUAGCUCACUAGUCGAGUGACACUGCGCCGAAAAUGUACCGGGGCUAAACAUAUUACCGAAGCUGUGGAUUGUCCUUUGGACAAUGGUAGGAGAGCGUUCUAAGGGCGUUGAAGCAUGAUCGUAAGGACAUGUGGAGCGCUUAGAAGUGAGAAUGCCGGUGUGAGUAGCGAAAAGACGGGUUGAGAAUCCCGUCCACCGAUUGACUAAGGUUUCUAGAGGAAGGCUCGUCCGCUCUGGGUUAGUCGGGUCCUAAGCUGAGGCCGACAGGCGUAGGCGAUGGAUAACAGGUUGAUAUUCCUGUACCACCUAUAAUCGUUUUAAUCGAUGGGGGGACGCAGUAGGAUAGGCGAAGCGUGCGAUUGGAUUGCACGUCUAAGCAGUAAGGCUGAGUAUUAGGCAAAUCCGGUACUCGUUAAGGCUGAGCUGUGAUGGGGAGAAGACAUUGUGUCUUCGAGUCGUUGAUUUCACACUGCCGAGAAAAGCCUCUAGAUAGAAAAUAGGUGCCCGUACCGCAAACCGACACAGGUAGUCAAGAUGAGAAUUCUAAGGUGAGCGAGCGAACUCUCGUUAAGGAACUCGGCAAAAUGACCCCGUAACUUCGGGAGAAGGGGUGCUCUUUAGGGUUAACGCCCAGAAGAGCCGCAGUGAAUAGGCCCAAGCGACUGUUUAUCAAAAACACAGGUCUCUGCUAAACCGUAAGGUGAUGUAUAGGGGCUGACGCCUGCCCGGUGCUGGAAGGUUAAGAGGAGUGGUUAGCUUCUGCGAAGCUACGAAUCGAAGCCCCAGUAAACGGCGGCCGUAACUAUAACGGUCCUAAGGUAGCGAAAUUCCUUGUCGGGUAAGUUCCGACCCGCACGAAAGGCGUAACGAUUUGGGCACUGUCUCAACGAGAGACUCGGUGAAAUCAUAGUACCUGUGAAGAUGCAGGUUACCCGCGACAGGACGGAAAGACCCCGUGGAGCUUUACUGUAGCCUGAUAUUGAAAUUCGGCACAGCUUGUACAGGAUAGGUAGGAGCCUUUGAAACGUGAGCGCUAGCUUACGUGGAGGCGCUGGUGGGAUACUACCCUAGCUGUGUUGGCUUUCUAACCCGCACCACUUAUCGUGGUGGGAGACAGUGUCAGGCGGGCAGUUUGACUGGGGCGGUCGCCUCCUAAAAGGUAACGGAGGCGCUCAAAGGUUCCCUCAGAAUGGUUGGAAAUCAUUCAUAGAGUGUAAAGGCAUAAGGGAGCUUGACUGCGAGACCUACAAGUCGAGCAGGGUCGAAAGACGGACUUAGUGAUCCGGUGGUUCCGCAUGGAAGGGCCAUCGCUCAACGGAUAAAAGCUACCCCGGGGAUAACAGGCUUAUCUCCCCAAGAGUUCACAUCGACGGGGAGGUUUGGCACCUCGAUGUCGGCUCAUCGCAUCCUGGGGCUGUAGUCGGUCCCAAGGGUUGGGCUGUUCGCCCAUUAAAGCGGUACGCGAGCUGGGUUCAGAACGUCGUGAGACAGUUCGGUCCCUAUCCGUCGUGGGCGUAGGAAAUUUGAGAGGAGCUGUCCUUAGUACGAGAGGACCGGGAUGGACAUACCUCUGGUGUACCAGUUGUCGUGCCAACGGCAUAGCUGGGUAGCUAUGUGUGGACGGGAUAAGUGCUGAAAGCAUCUAAGCAUGAAGCCCCCCUCAAGAUGAGAUUUCCCAACUUCGGUUAUAAGAUCCCUCAAAGAUGAUGAGGUUAAUAGGUUCGAGGUGGAAGCAUGGUGACAUGUGGAGCUGACGAAUACUAAUCGAUCGAAGACUUAAUCA
rnacentral:rRNA from 1 species